rnacentral:rRNA from 1 species
AUUGAACGCUGGCGGCAGGCCUAACACAUGCAAGUCGAACGAGUGGCGGACGGGUGAGUAAUGUCUGGGAAACUGCCUGAUGGAGGGGGAUAACUACUGGAAACGGUAGCUAAUACCGCAUACCAUCAGAUGUGCCCAGAUGGGAUUAGCUAGUAGGUGGGGUAAUGGCUCACCUAGGCGACGAUCCCUAGCUGGUCUGAGAGGAUGACCGGCCACACUGGAACGGAGACACGGUCCGGACUCCAACGGGAGGCAGCAGAGGGGAGUAUUGCAAAAUGGGCGAAAGCCUGAUGCAGUCAUGCCGCGUGGUGGAGGAAGGCCUUCGGGUUGUAAAGCACUUUCAGCGAGGAGGCGUUACUCGCAGAAGAAGCACCGGCUAACUCCGUGCCAGCAGCCGCGGUAAUAC